UGAUUGUCUUCCCCCACCCUCA
rnacentral:miRNA from 1 species